UUUCUCACAUUUUGCAGUAGAUGUUUCAUCCAGUUGACUUAUUUGCAAGUGAGACUGCCAAGAAGGGCAAACCUGGGAACAUGAUGGGACCUCUGCUCAUCUGCUUUUACAAGGUGUUCUGCUGUAUGAUGCUUUGGGAUGGGAAGUGAGAAUGCCAAAGGAAAUUCAUGGUCUCAGAGGUUCCUGUCUGGUCAUACCAUGUUCUUUCAGCUACACAUCAUACCCACCCAAAGACCCACGUAGAGUUGUGGGGUACCAGUGGGUCUCUUAUGGUUAUCCAUUAGUUUACGAUCCUUUGCAUGCAAACAAUGUCAUUGAAAAAUUCAAAGGCAGAACUGAUUUAUAUAGAAAAUCAGGUAAUUGCAGUCUGCUGAUUACCGGACUGGAACCAUCCCACCAU